CUGUAACAAAUACCACACAUUUAGUCGCUUAAAACAAUGCAGAUUUAUUAUCUUAUAGUCUUGAAGUCAGAAAUUUGAAGUCAGUGUCAAUGGACUAAAGUCAAGGUGUCAGAAAGCCUACAUUGCAUCUGGAGGCUCUAGGAGGAAAUCUAUUCCCUUGCAUUUUCUAGCUCCAAGAGGCUGCCUGCAUUUCUUGGUGCACAGCCCCUUCUUCGAUCUUCAAAACCAGGAGUGAUUGGUGGAAUUGUCAUCUUGCUACAUCCCUCAGACAUUCCUCUAUCUGGACAAAAUCUCCCUCUGUCACCUUUGUGAUUACAUUGGGUCCAUCUGGAUAAUCCAGGCUGAUUAAGGUCCCCAAGUCAAGACCCUUAAUUUGAUGACAUCUGCCAAGUCUGCUUCACCAUGUAAGGUAACAUGUUUGCAGGUUCUGGGAAUUUGCACAUUGAUGUAUUGGGGGGGUGGGGUCAUUAGGGUGCUAUAACAGUGUGAACUGUUGCAUUUGUAGCAAAUAUGUAGCCAUGGACAAAUUUUUAAUAAUGGAGUGAAUAUAAUAUAUAAAUCACACAAUGCUCAGAAAUUGUAGUCAAUGAAAAGAAGCUAUCCAGAUAGCCCCUUAUAAGAUGAAUUUUAUAUUUAAAAAUUUUGUUUGGACUUUAUCUUAAAUGCUCUUUUUUUCUGUUAUGGUAUUUUAGUUUCUUUCUUAACUUUUUUUUUUUUUUAACAAGGUUGGGCACACUCUCCUUAUUAGGAAUCACUAUUCAUCAAGUUACACUGAUGUAACCGGAAAGAAAAAUCAGUCUGAUCUGCUUGGAAGAUGGGGCUAAGCCUCGUAGUUAAGAUCAUCGUUUGUCGUUCCCGCCCAGCGUGUCGUCCUCUGGCUCCAUUCCUUCUUUCUUUGUUAUAUAAGGCAAGGUUACUGGAGAAGUUCUUCAGGCUGGAGAAGCUGUAACUGCAGCUUUUUUUUUUUUUUCUUUCUUUCUUUUCAUUAAAGGCAGAACUAAAACCGAGGUGAGUCGUUUAAAAUGAGACACUUAGCAUCUCUUGCCUGGUGGGGUGCCCAGGUUGUGUUUUAUUUCACAGAUGCCUAAUUAACCCCUGUUUAUCAAAGCCAGAGGAUAUCAGGUAAAAUGCAGCCGCAUGAAACCGAUCCUUGGAGGGAUCUAUGUUGUAAAGUGUGAAAUCAGUCGCUGAUGGACUACUUUUGUGGUCACCUUAAGACUUUAGCAUCUUGGAAAAGUUGGCCCCAGAAGGGGGUACUUUUCUUGAUGAAGCUACAGGAAUUGGAAAUAGUUCACUGAAACCUUUGUGGGUUAAAGAUAUAAAGGACUGUGGCGAAGUCCCAGUGGUAUGAAGGGACGCGCUUCUGUGUUGUCCAAACUGGAUUUCCCUGCAGUGAUUUGUAAAAGCCGAAUCGCUAAGGGCGGCGGGUCCCUCUGAUGAGUACGGGCCACCAGAGAGGCCAGCCCUGGCAGUGUGCACUGCCAAUGGGGCGUGAAGCAGACACAUCUCCAGGCUUUUGUUCCCUAAGCAGACCAGCUUGGGCAGGAAAUUCAUCUGAGACUGCUCUAAAUUAGAAACUACAAACUUAUGAAUGGUCCGUCUGCUCACAGGCCAGAGCCGUUGAAUCUCUUGAGUCCUUUAACAUUUUUCUAAUUGCAUCAAUGCGUCCAAAAACAAAAUUUUUUUUUUUUUUUGGCCGUUGAUUUUAGAAGAAAUAAUUAAGCGGGAUGAGCCACAUAAAUGAUGGCUUUACCUAGUUCCUCCUUUAACUCUAAAUUGCUGGAGGAAUUAAUAAAAGCUCACAAAAUCUAUUAGUCUAAAAAUCCAUUACGAGUGGCAUAAGAAAGGCAGGCAGCAAUUGUUAAAAAAUGACUGUAAACUGGAAGGAAACUGGUCUCUCUGAGGAGCCGGCACAGUAUACAGUGUCGCGUACCUCGCCUCCAUCUCCCAGUCACUGGCAUUAGAGGAAUAAGAAUCAGGGUGUGCAAUCCCCAUAGGUUCCAGCCCUGAUUUCUGAACUAUUUCACUUGGUCUUCACAGCAACCUUCAUGGGUAGCUAUUACGAUUCCAUUUUGUAGAUGAGCAAACUGAGGAUCAGAGAAGUCUGACCUGCCCCAGAUCACACAGACAAAGGUAGACUUACUAUAAAGUAAAUGAACAUCAGGGCCCCCACUUGCAAGGGCCCCAAGAGGGUGGUAGUCACAUUGUUAGGGGGUCAGGACCCCAGUGGGGUGGGGUGGAAACAGAUUGUAAUCAGUGAGCAUCUCUGCAUAAAUGUUUCUGAUAAAUUGUCUAAAGAGAUCUCAGAAGGCAAGAUUGAAAUCUCUGGAAAUGUGUUGUGAUUUCCUUCUUCAUUUCAAAGAAAUAUUCAAUUCUGCUCUCAAGUUUGUGUUCUUAAAGAGAAGCCCCUAAGCUUUGGGCCCCUUAAGACCUACAUCUGCCUUUGAAGAUAGGCGAUGAGAGGUAGAACUAUGUUUUGAACUUCUGAUUCCAAAGCCUGUUCUAUUUUCAGACCAUGUAGAAACAGAGAAGUAUAAACAGAACAUCAAGUUAAAAAAAAAAAAAAGCUGGAUAUGAGAAUUGUAAUUGUAAUAAUGUAAAGCUUUUGCUCUUAUCCAAGCCCCCAUCUUUGGGCUUGGAAGUCCUGUGCUCUGGGUCCACAGCUCAUCUUCCUCCACAUCACAUUCAUGUCUGCUCCCUCCCAGGACCCAGGAAGGGCAACACACCAGCGCGUGGUUGAUAAACAUCAGUUAGCUCGUAUAAAGUAGUAAAUGUAAUUUAUACUUUCAUAUUGGUUUACUGUUCACUUUCUAAAGGAGAAAGUGCAUGAUGUCACCAGGGAGACACAUAAAUAAAUGAUGACAUCUAUACUUCCUGUAGAUCUUGUGGGAACUUAUUUGUGAUUUUGAGUCUUUUAAUCAGUCUCUUUUGCUGUUACUCUUCACGAUGUAGUGAUAAAGGCUUGCUGAUGGAGAAAGAGUGGCAAAGGGAAGUAUUUCCCUAGGCCAUGAUACAAAUGAAGGAGAUGGGGACGUACAGGCAAACACAUAACCGUGCCAACUGAUCUGUAAAGUGUCCAUCGAUGUCACCCACCUCAAGCAGCUGCUAUACAUCCUAGAAGUAACUCAUCUCCCCUUGCCACACCUACCAUGCUGCCUGCAUUGGUGCUCACCUAAGCUCUGCUUUCUUUCUCCAUGUGGGGGGCGGGCUGUCCUAGGAGCUGAAUAGCCACCCUAGCUGGCUGCGCUUGCAGAUCCUUCUCUGCCCAUCAUCUCUGGCUGCUGGAUCACUGACUUCCUGGUUAACCUGAUCAUUAUCAUCAUCCUACAACAAUGUUGAAAUAUUUCCAUGUCUGAGAAAACACGGCCCUCCACAUCUCCCAUUUCUUUGCAGAACUCCAGUUCCACGCUCUCCCUCUUAUCCGACAAAUCUUCACCUCGCCCCAUUUGCUGUCCUAGUCUUAUUCUUCUGACCUCUUAAGGACACGUGACAGAGCCUGAGCCAGUUCUUUCUCUCGGCCUCUGGGAUCCUUCUGGUUUUUCUCCCUUCUUACUGGCUUCUCCUCGGAUUGCUUUCCUGUCUCCUCCUUUAUCCAAUUUCUAAAUACUGGAGUUCCCAGGCCUCAGCCCGGGACUCCCUUCUCUUCUGUACUUUCUCCUCCUCUAGUUCAUGGCUUUAAAUAGUAUCUAUAAGUAAAUGAGAAAGUUGUCUCCAGCAUCCAUUAAAAACAAAAUUUUUUUUUCUAUACAGUUAUAGAAAAAUGUGUGAAAAUCAGAAAAUAUGAUCAAAAAUAGGAAGAUAAAAUCAGCCAUAAACUCAAUAUCCAGAAAUAAUGAGUUAACAUCUUGGUAUACAUACUUUUUCUAUGUACAUGUAUAUAAAUGUAUGUAUAAAUGUAUAUAUUUUAUAUAGCAAAGUAGAAUCACAUUAUAUAUAUUACUUGGAAACUUGCUAUUUAAGAAUGUUUUUGUGGAUAGCCUUUGAUGCCAAAAGACACAGGUCUCCAGCAUUGUCUUCAGUCGCUACGCGGUUGUGUGUUUUUUUCUUUUUUUUUUUUUAAUAGUAUGGCUAUUUCCAUGAUCGAGGUAAUCUGGAGUUGUUUCCAGUUCUCUGCUGUUGUGCAGAAAGGUGGUGCUGCGGCUCCUUAGCAGUCUGGGCCCGGGUCCUUCCUUGUGAAUUGCAGUCCAGGCCGCUGGAAACUGCUGAGUCAGAGGCGCGUGCACGUGUGAAUCAUGAGUGCCGGCGCCUGGUGAGUCCCAGAGUUCGGACACCCGCUGACAUCACCUGUUGGUCUUCGGGCCGAGGGGCGCCCGGGGACCAGACCCUCGCGCGGAGCGGGCCCCAGGGACCUGACGCCCGGUGGCGGCUGCAGAAAGGCCUGGGCGGGGCGGCCGGGGGCCUUUGUGCGCACCAGACACCAGAUGGGACUCGAGAUGGGGAGGGACCUGUGAGCAGGUCAGAUGGCAGGCUUUCCACAGACCUGCUGCUGCUGCUGCUGCUGCAUCGGGAACAAGCAUUUUGGCGGGAAGAGAAAAUUCUUAAAAAAAAAAAAAAAAAAACAGGAGUUUUCCCUGUGAUGGGCCCUGUGGACAAAUGUCUUUUUGACUCCGUGUGUGCUUGGGGGCGGGACUGCCGCUCAGAACCCGGCUCUUUCCUUCUGAGAUAAAAGCCUUGUGCGCUGUCAGAUGUGGACCCACAAAUGGGGUGGGGGCGGGGGGGGGGGGGCGGUUCCAUCUGGCCUUUCAGGGAACGGAGCGAUAUCUGCGCUCCGGUGAGCACGGCUGGCCGUUGUUAGAAGGACUCAAUGCACAGGAUGUCAAACAAGGGGCGGGUUUGUAGGGGAUCCAGGGGGUGUGCACCGGCAGAGAAAAAAGAUGGUGGUGAGGAGGGAGGGACACGGGACCCCCAAGGCGGAUCCCCCGAUUUACAUCUUAGCCCAGUGUUCAUGAGAAGAUGGGGCAGGGGGGCUAUGUGUGUAUAUGAGAUGAGGGGCGGGUAGAGGAAGAUGGAACGGAGCCUUCUUCCUCUAUCUGUAGCCACAGGCCCCGGGGCCUCCACCACCUGGGUGUCCCUUUCUAACUAGAAUAAAUGUGACUUACUCAGGCCAGUGGCAAAGGCCGCGUUGUUUGGGUCUGAAAGGAAAGCUGAGAUCUAGCACGCCGCUGUCUUGAGUCAGUAGACAAGUGGGGAGGGACGCUGCGUGAAGACUUCUCUCUGUCUUCUGAACAUCUGCUCCCCGGCCUUGCCCUCUCCAGGUCUAAGCGUCCCUGCAGAGGCCCCUGUUGUGCCUCUAGACACGGUGUCUAGACCACAGUGGUGUCCAGCACGCCCGCACACCUAUCACUUAAGCAGAGAGCUGUGUCUGCAGCCCAGAUGUGCUGGCAAAGGCCUGGGGGGAGGAUGAGAGGACAAGCAGACCAGGUGAGGGCCGGACAGGACCCUACUGGGGAGGGGAGGCGGGGCGGAGGGGGCCAAGAGAGGACACGCAUGGGGGCUCCCAAACCCUUCCCACACUUUGCUCAGGGCGAGCCCACCUUCCCACCUAACCCUGCAUUUCUCAGAAAUAAUCCUUAUCCACUGUGAGCACUUCAUGGGGAGGGACUGUAGCCCCCGCAUACAGUGAUUCUCCACAAGGACGCAGAGGACGGAGAAUCCCUCCUUCUCACCUCCUCUGGGAAGCCACCGAGCGUGUCUCACUGAGUUCCCACCGCAGAAGUGACUUCACACCAACUUCUGUGUACUUUGGCCUCGGCCAAGCAGAGUCAGUUCCGUUUUCUUAGUUUAAAAUUGUCUUCUAGACAGUUUAAAAAUUCCAUUACAUUUCUGUUUUUCUGAGUGAAAACAGGCUCUCAGAACACUCACUGGACUGGGGGUUCGGUUCAUGGGUGGAGAUGUCCAAGCUGGGUCCCGUAGGUGGGCUGCCUGCCUCUGCUGUCAGAGGUGCUGCCACCCCUGCGCCUCCUGGGAGGCCCCUCCUAUGGUCCAGAAUGAGGCUGGAGCUGGCUGUUCCUGCACACAAAACAGCCUUGUGGACAAGGUUCACAGACAAGCCCUUGCUUCCAACAAGGGUGGGAGGAUGUGAGGGAUCCCUGGAGUAGGCAGUGACAACCCACUGCAGUAUUCUUGCCUGGAAAAUCCCAUGGACAUAGGAGCCUGGCAUGCUGCAGUCCAUGGAGUCGCAAAGAGUCUGACAUGAAUGAGCGACUAAGCACUUUAGCUCUUACAUUUGAUGUAUAUUUAAAAAUUCUCUCCUCUGGCUUGGCCGAGAGCAGCUGGACAAGUCAUUCAGCCUUCCCACUAAGUAAGGGGAUUGGCAAGAUGGAGUCUUCAGUUCUAUCCAG
ensembl:lncRNA